rnacentral:rRNA from 1 species
GUGAGGAAUUUUGCGCAAUGGGCGAAAGCCUGACGCAGCGACGCCGCGUGGAGGAGGAAGGUCUUCGGAUCGUAAACUCCUGUCAGGAGGGAAGAAAAUCGGCGGGAUGAAUAAGUCCGCCGGUCGACGGUACCUCUGGAGGAAGCCCCGGCUAACUCCGUGCCAGCAGCCGCGGUAAUACGGAGGGGGCCAGCGUUGUUCGGAAUUAUUGGGCGUAAAGGGCGCGUAGGCGGCUUGGCAAGUCAGUUGUGAAAUCCCUCGGCUCAACCGAGGAACUGCGACUGAUACUGCCGGGCUCGAGUCCCGGAGAGGGUAGCGGAAUUCCCAGUGUAGCGGUGAAAUGCGUAGAUAUUGGGAGGAACAUCGGUGGCGAAGGCGGCUACCUGGACGGGUACUGACGCUGAGGCGCGAAAGCUAGGGGAGCAAACAGGAUUAGAAACCCGUGUAGUCC